rnacentral:lncRNA from 1 species
CAACAUCAGGCCUACACUAACCAAAUACACACCAAGCCUAAUCCGGUACCUAAACCAUACUUAAGACUUAAUGUCAGAACCUGCAAGCAAAUCAGUCAACCACAAACACAAUCACAAUAAUAAGACUAUGAGUAACUACGACUCGAUCUAACUUGUAACGCCGUAUAUCGGUGCUACACUAACUCGAGGGUUCCAUAACCCUCUACGACACUCUAAACACAACACAACACACUACCCCGGGAAAUGGUGACUUAGUGUUCAU